GACGUAGGUGGCAAGCGUUGUCCGGAGUUAUUGGGCGUAAAGCGCGCGCAGGCGGUUCGCUAAGUCCAUGGUGAAAGCGCUCGGCUUAACUGAGCGAGUGCCGUGGGGACUGGCGAGCUGGAGGGGAGCAGAGGCGAGUGGAAUUCCGGGUGUAGUGGUGAAAUGCGUAGAGAUCCGGAGGAACACCAGUGGCGAAGGCGGCUCACUGGCCCGGUACUGACGCUGAGGUGCGAAAGCGUGGGGAGCAAACAGG
rnacentral:rRNA from 1 species